rnacentral:rRNA from 1 species
GAUCCUGGCUCAGGAUGAACGCUGGCGGCGUGCCUAACACAUGCAAGUCGAACGAAGCUUGACGGAUGAUUUCUUCGGAAUGGGAAACCAGAUAUGACUUAGUGGCGGACGGGUGAGUAACACGUGAGCAACCUGCCUUUCAGAGGGGGAUAACGGCUGGAAACGGUCGCUAAUACCGCAUGACGUGUUCGGAUGGCAUCAUCUGAACAUCAAAGAUUUAUCGCUGAAAGAUGGG